AUUAUUAUUAUUAUUAUUUACUUAUUUGAUUUCAUAUUCAAUUCACACUACUGAAAUUGAGCAUAUUUACAUAUCUAACUUGGUAAUAUUGUUGAGUAGUUCUUUAGUUUUUAGAAUACUGCUGGUAAUUGAGCUAUGUCUAAUCAAUGUAAAACACUUGAAAUAUGGCAUUGUUUCUCAAUUAGCAACAUGAAUGGAAUCAAUUAAAAAUUUAAAAUUAAUGCAUGGUAGGGUUCUGAUAAUCUCUGAAAAAUUUAAAAAAAAAAUGAUGCAGUCUAAUAAAUUAGGGUGCAAUUAAAUACUGAAAUGAAUGUAAAGUUCAAGAGGAACACUGUAUUACAAUAGGUUGGAUUGAUCAGAUGUGGGUUCUGGACAAUGAUUCUAAUGUCAAUGUCUGCAAUAUGGAAACAUCAAUUUUGUGCAACACAAAUGAAGAUAUCAAUGUUGAUCCAAAAUACUGUUAUAAUUUAGUGUGUAUAUACCCAUUCUUCACAUGUGGAUGCUUAUGAUAAUGUUGAAGACAAACAUGCAUGGUCUGGCUGUUUGCAACCAAUGUAUCCACAAUAUUGAGGAUAAUUUAUUGAUGCGUAUACCAAAUGCUGAAUGAUAUGGAAUAGGAUUUUGUAUCACCAGUAUGUGAUGUCACAAUCCAUAACUCUUUAACAAAGUUGAAGGUCAGAUUCAAAAUUGGAUUUGGGUUCUAAGAGCGUGAUAAAGAACAUGGAGCUAUGCUUUGAUUGAAUAUUUUGAACGAACUUAUUCAUGACGAGUUGAGGAUUGGCAUCUGCCAGUGCACAUGAUUUAGCUGAAGUAAACUUUUUUUUUUUUGGGUGUUUGAAGUUCGUGAUUAAUUAAUGAGCUUGUUUUCACUCAUGGUACUUGAACUUAUGGUGAAUUUCAGCAUAUUAAACUUCAUUUUGUAGAUUUUUAUAGAAUUUUAGCCAGAAUUUUUGACCUGAUAACCAAUUAAAAUUUUUCUAGUUUAGCUCUAUAAGAUAUAGAGCUGUACUAAUUUUGCUAAAUCUGUAAAAAAAGAAAAAAAAUUCUAGUAAUAGUGACCUUAUUGAAACAAAAUCAAAGUUAAAUAAUUUUGCUAAUACAGUUUGAAAUUCAAUGGCCUCACUGAAAUUUAGUGAGACUUUCAAUGAAUAUGAGUGAAAUUAACCUAAUUAUUUGUGCUGAAAAAUAGUUAUUGAAAGGUGGCAUCAUUUCAUGUUCUGAAGAUGGUCGGCUUCUGAGUUCUUUGUGACUUCAUGUUGUGGUCAAUUUAUGAUUUGAUUUAAGUGUUUGGGUGAGUUUCAAGAAUAGGAUAGUGAGUUUAAGUGGGUGGAGAGCUAUGGUGGGUUGGAGGGGGGAAAUGAUGAAUUAACGUGGUCAUUUGCUGUUUGAAGAGAGCAAGUGGGUGAUGUUUCUGCAACUCAAGGUGGAUAAUCUGAAAUGGAGUUGGUUAAAUAAUUUUUUUUCCCUGGUUUAUCUUAGUAAUAAAACUGCCUGAUCUAAUUUUGGCUUUGGUAGUGUGUCAAUUGCGGUCAGAUAAACCCAUACUACAUAAUUCAGGCAGUGAACCUUGCCAGAGAAAUGGUGGGAUUAGUUGCUAUUAAUUGGUUUAUUCAAGUUAGGAUGCCUUCCAUGACUGCUAGUUGCUUUUGCACAUAGCAGGACUUGUGUCCCUCCCUUUUGCAUUCUUAUCCCAUUUCAUUUAUUAAAAGGAAAAUAAAAAAUGAGCUAUUAUGGCAAGAAGCUGCAUAUAAUCAAAUGCCAAACUUGAUUCUGCUAUGUGCUUUAACCUGCAUAAUUACUUCUAAACCUCAUUUUUGGGAUUACCACUGUCCCAUCACUUUAGCCUUGGUGUUAUUAUAUUGAUAACAAUCUCUUGAGCAGUUAAGAGGGAACUUAUAUUGUAUAUUUUACUUGUAUAGGGCCGAUUUGAGAUACUAUGCU
rnacentral:misc_RNA from 1 species